UCCGGUGUUCCGUCACCGCGUGCUUACGGGGACAUGGUUUCAGCGGUCCUGCCGUUGAGGGUAUGAAGCUCCCCGGACACUGCGCCGUAGUUCCAUGAGAAAGGAACGGGAAGCGAACCGCAAGGAACGCAUCCUUCUGAGAGUUUCACAAUCGGAUAAGGCG
rfam:Candidatus Raymondbacteria bacterium RIFOXYD12_FTLL_49_13 rifoxyd3_full_scaffold_1742, whole genome shotgun sequence.